rfam:Hymenolepis nana genome assembly, scaffold: HNAJ_scaffold0000431
GGGGUGCGAGAUAGAAUUACCUCCUCGUGGUGCACCCUGGGCAACGUAUACUCAUGCGGCAAAAAAGUCUAU